GGGGGGGGGGGGGGGGGGGCCUGGCAGAUGGAGGUCGGGCGGGUGGGGGGAGCUUGCUCCUGGAUUCGGCGGCGGACGGGUGGGUAGUGCCUGGGAAUCUGCCUGGUAGUGGGGGAUGACGGCCGGCAACGGGCGCUACUACCGCAUACGUCCUGAGGGAGAAAGUGGGGGACCUUCGGACCUCACGCUAUCAGAUGAGCCUAGGGCGGAUUAGCUCGUUGGUGGGGUGAAGGCCUACCAAGGCGACGAUCCGUAACUGGUCUGAGAGGAUGAUCAGUCACACUGGAACUGAGACACGGUCCAGACUCCUACGGGAGGCAGCAGUGGGGAAUAUUGGACAAUGGGCGAAAGCCUGAUCCAGCCAUGCCGCGUGUGUGAAGAAGGUCUUCGGAUUGUAAAGCACUUUAAGUUGGGAGGAAGGGCAGUAAGUUAAUACCUUGCUGUUUUGACGUUACCAACAGAAUAAGCACCGGCUAACUUCGUG
rnacentral:rRNA from 1 species